CAGUCCCACUUUUUAACCGAGGUCUACAAAGAUGUGACACAGGGCUGCCAUUUGCUGGGGCUGAUGCUGAGCCGGGCACUUCAUGAUGGUGCGGGGAGCAGGCACCAUGCCUGGUGAUCCAGAGGGGGUCCCGUCAACACAGAUGAGGGAGACAGAAGACCCAGCUACGUAUCUAUCUUCAGAAACAUGCUGGCUCGUGGCUGCCAGCCUCCACACCCCAGCGCCAGCGUCACCCCCACACACACUCACAUACUGCUGCAUCAGAACAGGCUGUUGAAUAUUUCAUGACCGACGCUCAGCGGCCUAAAUUAUUCACCCCGUAACCAAGGCACAGUGAGUGCCGGGGUCUUUGGGAUCAGGGGCUGGUGGGGGCCCACUGGGUUCUUUCUGCAGAGGCCCACGGCGGUGUACACAGCGGGUGGGGGGCCAGACCUGCAGUGAGCUCUGCUCUCUCAGCACUCCCUACUUGGCAGAGAUCCAUGACCCAGGGGUGCCCAGCCAGCCAGAGAAGGUCUGAGAAGCUGGCAUCAAGCAGGAUCUGAGCAGCAGGGGGAAGUGGUACCCACGGCCUCCUGCAGGGCCGCUGGCUGGCACUCCCAGCCCAAGUUCCUGGCACGGAAUGAGCCCUCAGUAAGUGCUGGAGCUCAUCACCAUUCUCAUUAGUAUUCCACCAUCUGCACUCAUGCGCCCCAUUAUGGAGUCAGAGCCUCCAGCUUGGAAUACCCCAGAACAUGAGGCAGAUAUGCUGUUGGGCUGGGUGGGAAGGGGUCCUGGCUCAACAUCCCCUUCCACCUUGGCCUGAGGACAAGAAGAACAAUGGGCACUCUCACAGUCACUGGGGAGUAUUACAAAGAUAUGGAUGAGCAUAAGGACCAAAAUGAAAUUCCCAUCACACACCUGGA
rnacentral:lncRNA from 1 species